rnacentral:rRNA from 1 species
GACGAACGCUGGCGGCGUGCCUAAUACAUGCAAGUAGAACGCUGAAGGAAGGAGCUUGCUCUUUCUGGAUGAGUUGCGAACGGGUGAGUAACGCGUAGGUAACCUGCCUGGUAGCGGGGGAUAACUAUUGGAAACGAUAGCUAAUACCGCAUAAAAUUGAUUAUUGCAUGAUAGUCAAUUAAAAGGUGCAUCUGCACCACUACCAGAUGGACCUGCGUUGUAUUAGCUAGUUGGUGGGGUAACGGCUCACCAAGGCGACGAUACAUAGCCGACCUGAGAGGGUGAUCGGCCACACUGGGACUGAGACACGGCCCAGACUCCUACGGGAGGCAGCAGUAGGGAAUCUUCGGCAAUGGACGGAAGUCUGACCGAGCAACGCCGCGUGAGUGAAGAAGGUUUUCGGAUCGUAAAGCUCUGUUGUAAGAGAAGAACGAGUGUGAGAGUGGAAAGUUCACACUGUGACGGUAUCUUACCAGAAAGGGACGGCUAACUACGUG